AGUCCUUUCUCUUCUUCUCUUCUCCUUCUCUUUUUCCUUCUCUCUUUUUUCACUCAGCAACAACUCUUGUAUAUCUCUUCUAUUUUUUUAUAACUUUGAUAAUUGCUUCUUUCGUGAGAUUCACAAUAUGUAAUGGAUUGUAAGAGAGGUACUCCUUGUUGAUCACUCUGGAAUUGCUGCUCUCUUAAGAUUCUGAUGGUGCAGUGAAGUGGAGGUGCUUUGGAAUUCCAAGAUAUGAUGUUUCAUGAUUAUGUCUCCUGAAGAAGGUAGUAUGGAGCAUUAACUUAUGAUGGGAGGCUCUUUGUUUGUUACACUCAACUGAUGGUGAUUAUGGGAUGGUCCACCAAUAUAGGGAACUUUAGGGUUGGUGUUUGGAGGCUUUGAUCAGGGAUCUAUCUUUUUUUAAGGGAUGGUUUUUGCAUCACUUCAAACUUGAACUUCUUCUGAUUUACGUUAGCUAUAUUGGCCUAUUUGAUUUUGUUUAGUUUAUUGUUGGUAUUUUGGAACUUCAGGGUUGUACCCACAUGCAUGGUCAAAAUCUGUUAAUGGGGUUGAUUACUACUGGAAUAGGGUUAUAUGCCACUAAAGAAAGCAUAGUUUCAAGGGUGUUGCUCUGUGGAUGAUCUAAAGAUGGAAAGGAAUCGAGUCCUAUACUAUUAUGAACUUAAUAUGAAAUGAGAGAUUUGUAUUGUCUGUUGGCACAUUUGACAUGUUUCUGUUUCAACAAUGGGAAAUUAUAGCUCAUCACUGUUAUUAGAAUGAUCUUUUUUACAGGGAGAAUCUGAAAAUAACUGAUUGUUUUUACAGGGAAAAUUUGGAAGUAACUCUGUUCUUUCAGAGUAUGGGUUUUCUUAUCCUUUCAAGUGGGUUUCAUAUUUGGCAUAGAAUUUUUGUGAUGUUUUUGAACUUCAGGUUUCUGGCAAGCAAUUUGUUAGGAAGUUGUCUUGUGGAUUUUUGUCUCAGUGUCUGCAAAAGGGGUGUUCUACGAGUAGACAAAAUUUGCUUUCAUUACAACCAGCUAUCUUUUGUAUUUUGAAACAUUUGCUGUUGUGUUGUAUGCCUUUACUCCAGGGAUGAUUUUAGAUGGAAUGAGGAUCUCAUACCACUACAAAGUGCAUCCAUGAUUGGGUUUGGUUUAUAUCUCAGGUAUGCAAUAUUUUUUAUUUAUUUAUUUUAAAUUUCACCGUUUUAAUUAUACUUUUGGGUUUUUGAGAUCUCUCUAGUUAAACCCCAAGCUUUUAAUGCUGUGAGGAAUUGUUGCUCUUUUAAGAUGAAUUUGAUGCAAUAAAAUGGAGGUACUUUGACAUUCCCAAGAAAUGGUUUUAGGUGAACCAUAUGGAAAGUUUCAAAAUAUUUUCUGCUACCGAAGGAGUUGCACAGUUCGAAAUCUUACAUCGGGUAGCAAGGAUUCAAGAGACUGUCAUUAUUGCUGGAUUUAUUUGAUUGAUUUCUCUGAGAACAGUUUUUUGAUGACUUCAAAAUUGAACUAGUUGUGGUCACUAUCUACCAUAUUGGCCAUUUUGAAGUUUUGAUCAUGUUUAUGUAUAUUUGUGCUUUGCAGGACGCAUUGUCAAUUGGCUAGACUACUGAAAAUUGAAAUUCAUUGUUUGAUGUUUUGUUUUCACAGCAGGGGCUUCUUGUUACCACCCAAAAUAUGCUCACUGUUAGAUGUUAAUUUUAUUUUGACCUAUUUUGACGAGUAAGACCAAAAUUAUGGGCUUGUAGAAAUUGCCUUCAGUUAGAAUUUAGAGUCUCUUGACCGUGGAAAUCAGAAGACUCUGGUUUGUGGAAAUUGUCUUCUAUCAGAAUUUGAAGGUUCUUACUAUGUGAACUAGUACCUUUCAGAGGGUGAUUUUAUUCAUAACUGGAGAAGACAGAGCACUGGUUUUCUUUUCUGGUUUGAUUAAUUUAUUGCUGCCAUUUUCAAACUGCAACAACUAGCUUCUUUCAAAGUUGACUUUGUCUAUCACAGAUAAAGCGUGAUUCCUUCCUAUCUGGUUUUGAUGUAUUGCGGCCAUUUUCAUUCAUCAUGUUGCAGUUAUCAAUGUGGCAAAAGUUGACUGAUAACUUGGUGGUUUCUCAUCUUUAGAAAGGGGGUUUCAUUUCUAUGCAAUAACAUAAUUUCUCUAUGUUGUUCUAAAGAUAUAUUUAUUGUUUGUACUCCUGGUUAGCAGUUUUCAAUGGUUUAUUCUUUUUGAAGGGACAUUGAACAAUAUUAUGAAUUUGUACUUAUGGUUUGUUGUUAUCAAUGGUUUAUUAUUUUUGAACA